rnacentral:tRNA from 1 species
GGCGAUUAACUCUGUUGACCUAGAGCAUCCCGUUGCAAACGGGAGGGUCGGGGGUUCGACUCCCUCAUCGCCCA